rnacentral:lncRNA from 1 species
AUCUUCAACAACUGCAUUUCUCCUGGGAUACUCUGGGAGAAGUGGCUUCAUGGCACCAUCUCUCUGUCCAUUGGUUUGCAUGGAGGAAGUGGCGUUCACAGCUUUGCUGUCUCUGGACAGGCACAGUAAGGCUGAGGUUGGGCAGCUCUAUUGAGGUUGAGUGUGUGCUUUAUUAUGAACCCAGUGGUGCCCAUGGCCACGCUAAGGCUAAUGACCUGCAUUAGAUACCUGGACCUAACCUCUUCCCCAGAGGAUCAGGGUUUGGGGAUGGGAAGAGUUGAUUGGAGGAGGAGGAUGGGCUCGUGUUAUUUCCUGCAGGGCCCACUACGCUCUCCUGCUUCCUCCUGUCUCUACUGAAUGGCAUUUACACUAGCUGCUCCCGAAGGGAGUCACUUGGGUGAAAUGUCACAGGCUUCUGCAUGAAUGUCCCUUCUCCAGCCUUCAUUUCUCUCCCCGCUCUCUCUCCUCCAACCUCAAGUGCCUUUUUUAUUUUAAAAGGACACCGCCUUGAAAUUCAAGUGCAGGAAAAAGUAAUUACAUUUUCUCUUUAGGUCUGCCUCUCAAGAAGCCUUCAAAUCAUCUCCGGCCGAAAACACCGGGAUUAUUCUGGAGGGAAAAUGGUAUUAGUGGCGGCAUUGACUGCUUCCCUCCCUGGGUCUCACCCACUGCUUUUCUCCAUGCUAAAGGACGAUGAUGACAGCGUGGUCACUCGCUGCUGCCUCCCUCUGUUCUCUGCCACCUUUGGAGGGCAAGACCUCUCUCCAAGCAGAGGUCAAGUGCCUUAUUCACUGUCACGAAAGGAGAUGGUCUUUGCAUCUGUACAACUCAAGCCUUCAGCCCAGUGACUGCUCUGAUGUUUUGAUGCUACCGUUUUGACUCCACGGUAAUGAAUGGUACUUUGUCAGAUGUCAAACAAUACUUUUUGACGCCAUCAAUCAGUUUGAGAGCUGUGAUACUACUGCAAGAUCAGCAGUUUGUCUUUGCUUUUUCAGUGAGUUGGAGGAAUAAUAUACAUCCUUCCAGGUGUUCAGAAGGACACUAAAGAAUUGGGUUCAAAAUCUGACAGGACACUUUGCCACGGAAUGAGCUUGGACUGUCUCAGGAAGAAUGUUAACAAUUUUCUCAUGGAUUAGCUAGAAAACAUGUUAGCCAAACCUUAAUGAAUGUCUGUAGUUGAAAUAAUCAACACAAAACAGAACUGACAGCAGCUACAGCCACACAUGGCUACUGGUAGGGAUCCACGUGCUACAAUUUAGAUAUGUAAAAUUGGAUCCAAGAAAACUGGUGGCCUCCUAAUGGCAACGACAAUAACUAGCAUUACUUGAGAAGGUCAAAACUUGACCAAUGAAUUGACCAUCUCUUGAAAAAGUUAUGUGGAAAGGAAUUCUGAUUAAAAUGGAUUUUGUUAAAAGGAAACAGAUGUAGAAAAUAAAAUGGUUUAGUAGUGGCA